AGGUGGGGUGGUAUGAGGGAACAGAAGGCAGGCCCUAAUUUGAAAAGCCCAACUAGAUCCAAAACACGCACAUAAGAAGCUUUUGGGGCCCUCCACAAGAUCAGAGGAUCUUGAUGAUAUGAGAGCAGUGUAGAUGGUUUCCACUCCUUUCUUUCUGCUAUCCCAAUGGUUGGGGUCGCAGGGACCUGGCUCUAAGGUACAUCUCCUAUACUCACCGGGUGUGUGUCAAUAUGCAAACCAUUCACCAUCUACAGCCCCUGUUUCCUCAUCAGUGAAAUGUAAAUAUUUAGCACUGGCUUCACAAAAUCUUGUGCAGGGCGUAUAGUAGUUGCUCAAUAAAUACGAGCUCCCUUCAUCCUCUGUGGAUUCCUUUGGUCUAAGUGCGACUUGUUCAUCCACUUGGUGUUCUAAUCUCUCAGGUUUUGCAGCCCUCAUGUUGCCACACAAAUGUGGCCUUCUAACAUCUGUGAAUGCUUUCACUUUAAUAGUAAAACAACUAAUAGUACCUCGGGGAGUUAUUCUGUACUCACAGUUCUACAUCCUUCUAUCACGUGCUCCCUGUGAUACAGCAGGACUAGGACCCUGGGAGGGUCCCCAAAGGACAGAUGUAGAAAUAGACAGGACCCCAGUGAUUUCAAGGCCACCACGUAGGUGAUGGGUCUAGCCAAGCCUUGACCCAUAUCCUCUGACUCUCUUGCUGGAGGUGACAGAAGUGUCAGGCAGGUCAUUCAACAUCAAAAUCACAGGGGUCCUCUUUAAAAUGUUCUUCCUUUUCUGACUGUGGGAACCUAUUCAUUUUUAGAGUCCACCUUAAGACUUUCAUGUUCCGGGAAUUCUUGCAAUGCCAGUGUAAGAGGGGAGUGUGAUCCUGUGUAUGUGUGAGGCCCUGUGAGUGUGUUUGCAUGUGUGUGAGAGAGAGACCCUGUGUGUGUUUGAGAGAGGCCCGGUAUGUGUGUGUUUGAGAAAGAGAGAGACAUUGUGUGUGUGUGUGCACGUGCAUACGCAUGUGUAUGUGUGUGAAAGAGAGAAAGAAAGGAGCCCUGAGUGUGAUCAAAAAUUUUUUUUUUGCAGUUUUUGGCUGGGGCUGGGUUUGAACUCACCAUCUCCGGCAUAUGGGGCCAGUGCCCUACUCCGUUGAGCCACAGAUGCCACCCAGAUCUAAAUGUUUUGUCAUUUUUUGUAGGGCACACUUGGCAGGCUCUGACAACACCUGCAUUGUACUUUUUCCUUUGCAUGGGAAGAAGACGUGGCUGUGACAGUGCUUUGUGUUCUCCAGCAGGGAAGAGUGAAGAGUGUGUGCCUCUUUGUAGAAGAUGGACUUCAAGGACUGCAGAGAGGAAAGGGCAGGGAUGUGUGAUGUUUGUAGGUGCCCUGGGAAGAGUUCCUCUUUGCUAGGAAUUAUUUAUGCUUACCAUUAUAACGCUUCUGGAAGAACAGAAAGAAAACUCUAUUUCUUGGAUGAGAUAAGAAGGUUUUUGACUGAGUGUCACUACUGAACCAGGCCCAAAUGUUUGUGCUUGGAGAUGUCAAAUGUGAACCCAUCAUUUCCAUCCAAGUAAAAGCAACUGAAAGGGUCAAAACCAUUGGAAGUCUGCUGGCACAUCGCUGGGGCUCGCCUUUGGCUGCAGGCACUGCAUUCCAUUUGUCCCCUGGAGGAGGUCAGCUGUACUUCUGGGUCCCUGGCCAUUGGGGGGAUCCAGAAUCACAGCUCACUGAGGAUGAAGUCCAGGUGUUCCUAACACCAAUUUUGCAAGAAUUCAAGGGGCAUUAAAGAUCCUCAGUCCUGACAUUCCCGUUUCCUUGUUAUAGAUAAAAACUGAAGUGAGGUCUGGCCCAUAAAGACAGUUUUCCCACCUAGAAGGUUCCCGAUCCCGGCAGAAGACGUGGACAUUACUCCUGGUGCCAGCUCUGCCCCUGCGAACUAGAUGGGGACACGGUGACUCGUGGAGGGAGCCCUGGAUGGGACAUGGCCCAUUCCAGGGUCUCAAGGAUCUCUCCACUGAGGGGAUCAAAUGAGGUGCAGACCUUAUGACACAUGUGGGAAACACAGACCAGGAGGUGUUCAUUCAUGUGCUGUGAUGGGCCGCUUGUGUCCCCGUGUUAUGACCCCUCUGCUUCAGAGAACGGCACCAUCACCAGGGUCUGCUGCUGACCAAAGCAGGCACGGGAAUGUCCCACGUCACCUGCCAGAGUGGUCUCAAAACCUAAGUCGGAUCAAGAGUUGAAGCGACUCACUCAGCCCCAUUCUGUGCUUCCCCAUAGCACUGAGCCAGCUGACCCUCUGAAUCCAGAGUGCUCUGCUGUAAAGACGCUGCGGGCUCAGGGUUAUGGCUGGCAGGCGAGAGGAAAUGUUCUUCUCAUUUACAUUGACUAGGAAUUAAUGAGCGCUUUCUAAGGUCUUCUACCACUUCCUUAUCCUGUCCCUUAGAAUUUUACAAUUAAUAGCCCAAGUAGCCCAAACUUCUUAGGAGUCUUUGCUUCCUUUGAAAUCCCAUACACGAUAGAGAAAAGCACAGAGUUAGAAAAACCUUCUUCCAACCCUAAAUACCACAGGGCAAUUUUAUUUAUUUAUUUAUUUAUUUAUUUACUUCUGGACAAUUUUCUCAAGGGGACAAAAGAAAGCAAAUAUACAGUGCAGGGAUGGCUGAGGUCUGUAGAUGCUGCAAGCAAAGAGUUAUAGGUAAGUAGAGAAAGGGAGGGAGCUCUGGGAACGGGCGGGGGGGGGGUCAGAGUGAGAUUUCUAAAGUGCAGCAGCAAGGAGGCCAGCAGAGUCAUGCCCUAGGGAGGCAUCCAGCAGCCCUGGCACAGGGACCUGUCAUUGCAGCACACACAAGUCAGAUGCCUCCACUAUGCGUCUAACACAAGAGGGGAGAUUUGGUCCUAGUAGAGCUGGAGGGCUGGAGGUGAGGAGCUAAGCCUCCCACCACCCUCUGCCUCUAUCACCAUUCUUCCCCGUAGGUGGAGUGACGGACCCCGCUUCUGAGAGGCUACAUCUGGCCACCGACUGGUACUUGGCAGCAGGGCACUCACCAAUGCAGGUGGAUUGGAUCUGGUAAUGCCUCCACAUCAGCUCUGUGCCCUCCUGCAGCAACUUUAGAAUAUGACCACCAACUCUGCCAUCAAGAUGUGGGGUCUUGAAGUCCAUGCCUUGAAUCUGGGUGGGAUUUGAGGGUUUCUAUCGAUGGAGCCUGGCAGAGGAGGUGCUGUGUCUACAGGCUGCCUGGGCACACGUGCUCUUGGAACAUUCCCUCUGGGAACAAAGCUGCCCUGAGUGAGAGCCUGAGCCAUGUGGAGAGGCCACGUACAGGAGCUUCAGCUGACAGACCCCUGAGCUCUGUCUUUAGGUCAGCCUGGUUCUGAUACCAGAUGUAUAAAUGGAGAAGUUUGAGCAUAAUAAAAUAGUUGCUGUUUUAUGCUGCACGGUAUGGGAACAUUUUUCAUGUAGCAAGAGAUAAUCUGUACAUGAUUUAGACACUUUGGUUUCCUAUGCCAGUGAUUUUCAACCAGUAUGCCAUGAAAAAAUUUUAAAGAUCAUUAAUUAAAUUAUUUUUAAAAGAAGUUCAAAGCACAGCAAGUAUGUAUUUUUUGACUCUUUUUUUUUUGAUCAACAUAAUUUAAGUACGCCAAGGAAGUUUAACUCUAGGUUCAAGUGUGCUGUGAGAUAAAAAAGAUUGAAAAGCACUGCUCUAUUUCUA